rnacentral:rRNA from 1 species
GUAGCUGAGCUUGAUCCGGGAAUUAUUGGGCGUAAAGAGCUCGUAGGCGGUUGUCGCGUCUGCUGUGAAAACCCGAGGCUCAACCUCGGGCUGCAGUGGGUACGGGCAGACUAGAGUGCGGUAGGGGAGAUUGGAAUUCCUGGUGUAGCGGUGGAAUGCGCAGAUAUCAGGAGGAACACCGAUGGCGAAGGCAGAUCUCUGGGCCGUUACUGACGCUGAGGAGCGAAAGGGUGGGGAGCAAACAGGCUUAGAUACCCUGGUAGUCCACCCCGUAAACGUUGGGAACUAGUUGUGGGGGCCUUUCCACGGUCUCCGUGACGCAGCUAACGCAUUAAGUUCCCCGCCUGGGGAGUACGGCCGCAAGGCUAAAACUCAAAGGAAUUGACGGGGACCCGCACAAGCGGCGGAGCAUGCGGAUUAAUUCGAUGCAACGCGAAGAACCUUACCAAGGCUUGACAUACACCGGAAACGUCUGGAAACAGUCGCCCCUUUUUGGUCGGUGUACAGGUGGUGCAUGGUUGUCGUCAGCUCGUGUCGUGAGAUGUUGGGUUAAGUCCCGCAACGAGCGCAACCCUCGUUCUAUGUUGCCAGCACGUUAUGGUGGGAACUCAUGGGAUACUGCCGGGGUCAACUCGGAGGAAGGUGGGGAUGACGUCAAAUCAUCAUGCCCCUUAUGUCUUGGGCUUCACGCAUGCUACAAUGGCCGGUACAAAGGGCUGCAAUACCGUGAGGUGGAGCGAAUCCCAAAAAGCCGGUCCCAGUUCGGAUUGAGGUAUGCAACUCGACCUCAUGAAGUCGG